CUUUACUGCAACUUGACAUUGGAUUCUGGCUGUAUUUAUGUAGGAUAGGUGGGAGGCUUUGAAGUAGUGCCGCCAGGCAUUAUGGAACCAACGUUGAAAUACCACCCUAAUGCUGACGGAAUUCUAACCCGACCCAUCAUCUGGGCCGGAGACAUUAUCUGGUGGGCAGUUUGACUGGGGCGGUCGCCUCCAAAAAGGUAACGGAGACAUCCAAAGGUCCCCUCAGCGUGGUCGGUAAUCACGCGCAGAGUGCAAAGGCAUAAGGGGGCUUAACUGCGAGACCGACAGGUCGAGCAGGUACGAAAGUAGGGCUUAGUGAUCCCGCGGUCUAGCGUGGAAUUGCCGUUGCUCAAUGGAUAAAAGGUA
rnacentral:rRNA from 1 species